rnacentral:lncRNA from 1 species
UUGGACAAGAAACCCAGGACAAUCCAGGACGUGUAUUUCUCAGCACCCAGUCAACUGCCAGAAGUGACUCAAACACAGGCCACCAGAGACAAUGCCUACGAAAUUAUUGGCCCUGAUGACGAGAGCCCUCAAGGGGCAAACGACAUCUCUCUUGCAGAAGUGAGCCCGGUACCACCUUAAGUUACCAUGACAGAUGACACGGCUGCAAUAGAUACAGAGACUGCCGUGUCUACUGCAGCUGCAACAGUGUACGAGGCAAGCAGCAGCACGUCAGCAUCAGCAGUAGUGUCAGAAGGAACCGAACCAGGCCUGGUAGGGCAACAUGUCUGCUACCACUGUGACUUUUUUUUGUAGUGCAUACACCUCAUCUGCUCAACAUACGAAAGCUUUUCACCAUGACUGCGAGCCAGUGUUCUUGUGCAGCGAGAGCAAGACUAUGUU